UCAUUAAGUCACAUGUGAAAUCCCCGGGCUUAACCUGGGAACUGCAUGUGAUACUGGUGGUGCUAGAAUAUGUGAGAGGGAAGUAGAAUUCCAGGUGUAGCGGUGAAAUGCGUAGAGAUCUGGAGGAAUACCGAUGGCGAAGGCAGCUUCCUGGCAUAAUAUUGACACUGAGAUUCGAAAGCGUGGGUAGCAAACAGGAUUAGAUACCCUGGUAGUCCACGCCGUAAACGAUGUCUACUAGCCGUUGGGGUCCUUGAGACUUUAGUGGCGCAGUUAACGCGAUAAGUAGACCGCCUGGGGAGUACGGCCGCAAGGUUAAAACUCAAAUGAAUUGACGGGGGCCCGCACAAGCGGUGGAGCAUGUGGUUUAAUUCGAUGCAACGCGAAGAACCUUACCUGGUCUUGACAUAGUGAGAAUCUCUCAGAGAUGAGAGAGUGCCUUCGGGAACUCACAUACAGGUGCUGCAUGGCUGUCGUCAGCUCGUGUCGUGAGAUGUUGGGUUAAGUCCCGCAACGAGCGCAACCCUUUUCCUUAUUUGCCAGCGGGUUAAGCCGGGAACUUUAAGGAUACUGCCAGUGACAAACUGGAGGAAGGCGGGGACGACGUCAAGUUAUCAUGGCCCUUACGACCAGGGCUACACACGUGCUACAAUGGUAGGUACAGAGGGUUGCUACACAGCGAUGUGAUGCUAAUCUCAAAAAGCCUAUCGUAGUCCGGAUUGGAGUCUGCAACUCGACUCCAUGAAGUCGAAAUCGCUAGUAAUCGCGAAUCAGAAUGCCGCGGUGAAUACGUUCCCGGGCCUU
rnacentral:rRNA from 1 species